GGCUGUCCACUCUUGAGGGGCUCACAAUCCAGCAUCAGGGAGUCCCAGGUUGUGCCACUGUCAUCUCCUCAUCCGCCUAGCUGUGCAUCUAGUCAGACCACAUGGCUUGUAAGAAGGUGCUGUGCUCUCUUCAUUCUGCCAAUUAAUACUAAGGAAGGACCGGGAGAGAGGGGGGAGAGCUUAGAAAGUCUUACUGAUUUGAACAGAAAUUGACUUUAAGCACCUAUAAAGGUGAAAGAGAGGAGGUGAAUCGUCAGGAAUCCAGGCCACUGCUCUCUUCUUGCCAGCGUCCACGUUUUCUUUUCGGUCCCUAAGGGCAUGCGCCCAUGACAAAUAUGGCUGCGGCAGCCUCGGGCGCCGGCACCUGCCGGGGCGCGGUCCCGGGAGCCGCGCGGAGCCAAUCGCCGGCUGGGGGCGGAGGGAGAGGCUAGGGAAGCCGCCGGCGGGGCGCGCGCAGGCGCACUGACUCGCACCUGGCUCCAGGCAGCCGCAGGAUUAGGCUUCGCCUGCCACGGUAUCGGGACAAGGAUGGCCAGACUGCUCUUGGAUGUGAGCGCUCCUCAGUGCUCCUGGGGCUGACACCGAGCUGGCAGCCAUGGGGCUGGGCAGGCUCCAGGCCUGGAUGCUGGGCCUUCCUACGGCUGUGGUCUAUGGCUCCCUGGCUCUGUUCAUCUCUAUCCUGCACAAUGUGUUCCUGCUUUACUAUGUGGACACUUUUGUCUCAGUGUACAAGAUCAACAAAGCUGCCUUCUGGGUUGGAGAGACGGUGUUUCUCCUCUGGAACAGCCUCAACGACCCCCUCUUCGGCUGGCUGAGUGACCAUCAGUUCCUCAGCUCCCAGCCCCGGUCGGGCGCCGGGCUUUCCUCGAGGGCCGUGGUGCUGGCACGGGUGCGGGCCCUGGGCUGGCACGGGCCGCUGCUGGCGCUGUCGUUCCUGGCAUUCUGGGUGCCCUGGGCACCCGCUGGCCUGCAGUUUUUGCUGUGCCUCUGCCUCUAUGAUGGCUUCCUGACGCUCGUGGACCUGCACCAUCAUGCCUUGCUGGCUGACCUGGCCCUCUCUGCCCACGACCGUACCCACCUCAACUUCUACUGCUCCGUCUUCAGUGCAGCUGGCUCCCUCUCUGUCUUUGCCUCCUAUGCCUUCUGGAACAAGGAAGACUUCUCUUCCUUCCGCGCCUUCUGUGUGGCCCUGGCCACCGGCUCUGGGCUGGGCUUUAUGGGGGCCGCACGGCUGCUUGGGCGGCAGGUUGAGGCGGCUGGCAGGGAGCCAGAGUGCCCAGCCCUGGCUGUGAAUGGCGGCCUGUGCGGAGAGGAGCUGCUUACCGGCUGCCAGGACGCAGGUAGCAUCACUCUGAGCCAGUACCUCCAGCAGCUCGCACGCCACCGGAACUUCCUGUGGUUCGUGGGCAUGGACCUGGUGCAGGUGUUUCACUGCCACUUCAACAGCAACUUCUUCCCCCUCUUCCUGGAGCAUCUGUUGUCAGACCACAUCUCCCUCUCCACGGGCUCCUUCCUGCUGGGGAUGAUAACAGGACUGAUCCUAAAGGGUGGUGAGGAUGAAAUAACAGGAUGUGAAGCUCGCAGCACAGAGCCUGCCACGCCGAUGGUUGGUGCGGAGAGCUGUGGAAGCUGCAGCAGUGCCCCCUCACAAGGCUGCCCCCUUCUGUCCAGGCAUCUCCUAUGUGGCCCCCCACGUCAACAAUCUCUACUUCCUGCCCUUGUGCCGGCGCUGGGGCGUCUACGCCGUGGUGCGGGGGCUCUUCCUGCUCAAGCUGGGCCUGAGCCUGCUCAUGCUGUUGGCCGGCCCCGACCGCCCUGGCCUCCUCUGCCUCUUCAUUGCCAGCAACCGUGUCUUCACGGAGGGCACCUGUAAGCUGUUGACUUUGGUGGUCACUGACCUGGUGGACGAGGACCUGGUGCUGAACCACCGCAAGCAGGCGGCCUCAGCUCUUCUCUUUGGCAUGGUGGCCCUGGUGACCAAGCCGGGCCAGACCUUUGCCCCGCUGCUGGGCACCUGGCUGCUGUGCUUCUACACAGGUCAUGAUCUCUUCCAGCAGCCCCCACUGACCCCUGUGGGGAGUGCCCAGCCCUGGCCAGAGCCCCCGGCCCCAGCCCCAGCCCAGGCCCCAACACUCCGCCAGGGCUGCUUCUACCUGCUGGUGCUGGUGCCCAUCAUCUGUGCUCUGCUGCAGCUGUUCACUUGGUCCCAGUUCACACUGCACGGGAGACGCCUGCACAUGGUCAAAGCCCAGCGCCAGAACCUAUCACGGGCCCAAACCCUGGAUGUUAAGAUGGUGUGAGAGGCAGGUACUGCAAGGCCACCCUGCUGAGGACACUGUCGCAGCCCUGGGCAGGAGCCACUUUUGCCAGCCCCUCAUCCUGCUCCUCUGCCUCCCUGGGGCACAGCCUGGAGGACAGAUGGCAGAGUGCGAGCUUCUGGGGCUGAGCCAGGAGCAUCACUGAGGUCUAAGUUCCGGCUUGGCUGUCUGGCCCAGCUUGGGCAAGGGCUGGGCUCUAUGUGCUCAGGGACCUGCUUCCCCCUGUGGGGCAGGAGGAGGAAGAGGACCAAGAAGGGAUGGGGCUACUCUGUGAUCACAUGGGGUUGCUGCAGGGCAUGAAGGCCUGUUCCAUCACCUGGUUGGGGCUGGUGCUAUGUGUGGGCUCAGAAGCCACUUUCACCCACUCAGGGGAAGCUGUGAGUCCCACCGCCCCCUCCCUCCACGUUUCCAGUGGUUUCUCUGACCUCUCUGCUUCAGUUGUGCCUAAAGUAUUGUGUUGCUGCAGGGCUCCCCCACCCCCACC